GUGGGCCAAUAAUAUCCUUGUUGUAGGACCUUAUAAGCCAGAGAUUUACCUCCCAAGUGAUUUUCACAAAUUUUUUCAUGAACUUCUCUAAGUGCAUAGUCGGCAUCUAUUGGUCCCAAACACUUCAGUAAGGGAAGAGAGAAUGACCUCUUAUAUAAUUGAUCAUUUAUCAAAAUGUAUUACGAGGCCAUUCAUCUGAGUCAUUUGGCUUCUGAGGG
rnacentral:lncRNA from 1 species